rnacentral:lncRNA from 1 species
UUUUUUUUUUUUUUUUUUUUUUUUUUUUUUUUUUUUUUUUUUUUUUUUUUUUUUUUUUUUUUUUUUUUUUUUUUUUUUUUUUUUUUUUUUUUUUUUAUUUGUGCACCACCUCAUGUAUCACCAAACUCUCUAGUUUACUUUUGAAUUUUAUUGCGGCUCGUAUAUUUUGCAAUAACAAAUUUUGAACUUGGUAAACUUUUUCCAUUUCCGCAUUAAAACAGAAAAGAAAAAAAUCUUAAUCUGUGUUUUUUUCUGGUGUUGAAAUUUAAUUGUGAACAAAUCGGUUCGCUUGUUAUUUUUCUCUCUGAAAAAAAAAAAAAAAAACCCAAAACUUGUUUUGAAGCCUCCUUUUUUAUACUUACAUAUAUCACCAAAAAAAUAAUAUUUUCAGAGCUAAAUUUGAUACUGCUUUUAUUUCUCAAAAAAUAAAUGAAUCGGUUAGCUCAAAAAACACCUUGACCCCUCCCAUUAAUAUUUUGGGAGUUAAAUUUGUGGUAGGGAACAAGUGGAAUACUAUAUAAUGAUCUCAAGUAAAGAGAGACAGUGAAGAGUUAUCUAAAUUUUGGUGGUCUUUUCGCAGGAAAGAUGCAAUGGGAAAUGUUUCUGUCACCAUCUUAAAAAGAUUGAAAACUUCGUGAACUUCAGAUAGGUCCCGAAAGAAUAAAAAAAAAGUAAACUUUAAGUAAAAGUUAAGAAAGCAAAAGAGACUCCUCACAAAGGACAGACCUCAGUUCUUAUUUUAGCAAAAAAAAAAACGAAUUGUUAGGCUCGCUAUCUUUCUCUCUCUAAAAAAAACCCCUUAAUUUUAAAGCUUAUAUAUAUAAUAAUAUAUAUAUAUAUAUAUUAUAUUAUUAUAUAAUAUAAUAGAAUAAGGCUAAAACUUAUUAAUAGCACCAAAUCAUUGGUGCUACCAAGUUUUUGGCCCUAGGAUUAAGAGAUGUACGGUUAUGAUGAUGUGUGCCCUCUAAGGUUGAGUGGGUGGUUGGUUGAAUAAUAUGAUCUAACGGGUGAAAAUAAUUAAAAGGGUAGAUCUAACGGCGGAAAACUUGGUAGCACAAAUUGCUUCGUGUUAUUAAUAGCAUAGUAACCGAACUCUAUCUCUCUAUAUAUAUAAUCUAGCUAUUGUUUUUUUAGGAAGACAUAGGUUAUCGUCCUGCAAAGUCGUUUUAGAUGAUAGAAAUUUUGAAUCGACAAUCGGAAUCGCCAAAGUUGAUCUAGACUAUUUAUAAUGUUUAGAUUAGAAACUAAAUUUCAUAAAUUUUAAAAUUCGUUGCUAAGUUUAUUGAAUAGUCGAAAAAUGAACGGUCAAAAACGAAUAAUCUCGUGAAAAUAAAUAUUAGACUUUUACAAUUUAUGAUUAGAAUUAUCAAAUAUUAUCUAAAUGAUACAAAAAAUUUUCUAUCAAAAAUUUAAGCUGUUUGGAUUGUUCUACGCCAUUAAACAAGCAAACGGCUCGUAUAGACCAUAAAAAACUAUCAAUUUUUUGAUCCUUGAAUCACUAAAUAAAUAAUUUUUAAUUUAUUUUUUAGACACUUUAAAUACUCUAGAUCAAUUUUAAUAGUUUCGAUCAUCAAUUUCGAAAUCUCCAUCAUCUAAAACGAUUUAGAAGAACAAAAACCUCCGUCCUCUUAAAAGGAUAGUAGCUGGAUUUAUAUUUCCAACUAAGGCUUAGAAGUCAUUACUUUUGGUUUUCAAACUGUAAGGCUUGUAAUAUCCUUCUUCUUAAAUUUUUAUUUAUUUUCAUUUGAUUUCGAAUAUCAAUUAUUAAGUCCUUUGUCACCGACACUAAAGACAAUCAAUUACUGAAUAGGUCAGUAAAAUUUGCAUCAAUUAUAAGUCGAUUUGAUCAUUUGUUAGAUAAUAUUGGGGGAAAAAAUUUUAUUAAAUACUAAACUCUUUCUACUGAUCAGUAGAACGUGUGUCGAUUUUAUGUUGAUUCGAUCAAUUAUUAGAUUAACGUUAAUGUUAUAUGGCUCCAAUAACUCCUAUCUUAAAUGAAUAGCAAAAUUACAAAAAAAUUCUGCGCACGAGACUGUAAAUGAUAUAUCCCAAGCUUGUGGCGCUUCGACUAUCCAGAAAUAUACAGAAAGACGCAACAGCCAUUGCAUAUCAAAUAACCCCAAAGUGACAGAAAAAAUGACAUCAGGGAUGAUCAAAUCAGAGGUGCUUCUGAAUCCACUGCCACCCCCAGCUACAUACAGAAAACUGGUAUCAUGGGCAUGUUGCUCACAUCCCAAUUUCAAUAUCCAAACUAAUAAUGAAUAAUAAUAAAUAAUAAUAGUAAUAACAAUUAAAAGUCUCCUCAAAUCUACAAGGAUUGAGAGCUAUGAAUGUAGACACAGCACCCAUCAAUCAGUAUGGAAAAGACCCUUCAUUUAAUUUUCCUUCAAUGUGUAAAGUUGAAUGCCCCUUUCCAAUGUGACUGGGACCCUUUAUUUUAUUUUAUUUUAUUUGUGCACAUGAUGCAACCAUGUAUAGGGUGCAUUAAUUGCAAUUGUGAGAAAAAAUUUUUGCAAAAUUGAGAAAACUAGAAGCUCUGUGUGUGUUUGUGUGUGAACUUGUGCAAUGCCAUUGGUUUAAAAUAUUUCAUACCAGUGAUUGAAUGAUAUUGAUGGUAAAGGGACAAAAGAUACUUUCUAGAGAAGCAUGACUUAAAAGCUGGUUAUAAAAUUCAGUUGAGUUGGAUGUUUCAAAUUUUGUUGAGACCAAAAAAUUUUUAAAUUGGCAUAAAUUUUUAUUUGAGUGCAGUGUCUGAUUUCAGCGUGUAUCCAAUUUGAAAAAUAUUUUUCGAGAUCUACGCGUCGGACCGCAAAAUAGUUCUAGCCGAGUUUGGGGCUCAAAUUUAACAGUUUAGCCCUCUAUUUUUAUAUUUUUAGGUUAUUUUGUAAAACUUUGUAUUUUUUUCUAUUUUGCUUCUGAUUAUUUGAUUAUUUUUAUUCGGUUUAAGUUGCGAAAUAUAUUUUAAAUUACAAUUUAUUAUUAGGAUUCAGGAAUGUAUAUAUACAUGUGCGUGACAUUCACUUAGUGUAAUUAAGUUUAAGAACAAUUACAUGAACAAAGAUUAAGGUGAUUGGUCACAUGUGGCAAAUCUAAUCCUGUUGGGAAUCCGGUAUUCGCCCCGGUACCGGAUCUUGUGAAUCCGCAACCCGCUCCGAUACCGACUGCUGUGGAUUCGGUACCGAUUGUUGGGAUUCCGCAACGAAAACGUCAAAUCGAGUUUUUACCAUAAACCCAUCUCCUCAGCAAAAACUGAUACAAUCAUAAAAGAGAGAAAAAAUCAAAACAGAAAAUAUGCGGGUAAAACAAGAUUCAUUAAAUAAGAGAAGAUUACACGUCACUCCUUUUCUGCACAGAGUAGCUGCAACCCGAGCCCUCUUUUUGAAUCUCUCCUACCCUUCUCUUAUCUUCUAUAAUCCCACAAAGAAGACAAUCCUCCACGCGCACCCAUGCACUAGGUGCACUCAACUCAUUAACUGUGACGCACUGGACCUUGCAAAUUGUGGGGUUCGAGUGAUUGAAUAUGUUCUGAGCUUUUCCAGACUUUUUGGGGGGUCGUUGACAGUGUUUCGACCUAUGGUUUGAGUCCCGAGAAUGGUGGUUUAAAAUCUUGCAUCAAAAUCCAAAAAGUUGAAUUUUUGAUUAGCUCUCGGGUAGCCUUCUGCAGGCUGUGUACCGGUACGGGUUCGCUUGCUGUACCGGUACGGGGUUGAUGGCUGUACCGGUACGGGGUUGUGUACCGGAACACAGGCCAUUUUCCAGCAAACCCGAGGCUCGGGUUUGGCGUUUCGUGGGUUGUGUACCGGUACACAAACCUGUGUACCGGUACGCAGUACAGAUUUUGGCUGUUUCGUGGAGGGGUGUUUUUGCAAUUGUUGCAACAUCUAUUUAAGCACACUCCAGCCCCUUGGGGGCUGUUUUGAGCCCUAGAACAGUGAAGAGCAAGGUAAGAGGAGUUCCCUUUGAUUUCUUCUUAAUUUUUGAUGGAUUUUGGUUGGUUUUGACCUCUCCUCUCUUCUCCACCUUGCUUUUUGUUGGGUUUCCUCCAUUGUUGAAGGCUUGGAGCUUGUAGAGGAGCUUGUUUGAGAUGAGAUCUUCAACUUCACUUGGUUUGGGACUUGGUUUUGAGCUUCUUGUGAGGUUGGUAAGCCUUAUCUUUUCUUUGGAUUAAGUUUUGGUAGCUUCUACUAGAUCAAAUCCUAGAUUUGGCAUAUUAGGGUUAAAAAUGAAGAUUUUUGAUUUGAGGGCUUCGUCUACCGUUGGUGGGUUUGACUUCAUGAAAAUGGGGCAAAAUGGCCCCUAUUUCUUCUAAACUUUUCGUAAAGUAUUUUCGAAUGCAAAUUCAUGCUAAACAUGAUUUAUGUGAAUUUUAGAACACUUAACAUGAUGCCUCAUGUAUCGUAAAAUUUGUACUCCAUAUAGUAGAGCUAUAGGUGUAGAUUGCAUGCAAUGUGGAUAGUGCUUGGUGUUGCAAGUUGAGAACAUGUCUCCAUGCUAGAAUUCAGUGAAUUAUGCAUCAUGAACAUAUUAAUGCCAUGCUUGAAACUCGUUGAACAAAAGUGUCAUAAAGGAGCACUUGGAAUUAGUAAAUUAUGAAAAAACAACUUAGAGACAUGAUAAUAGGCCAUUGUUUAUCUGCUAUAUUCCAUGUUAGAGAUAUGAUGACAUAGAGAUAGGCUAUUGAGAUACUUGAUAUAUUCCAUGUUUUAGACAUGAGGACUUGGUGCUUGAGACAGAUCAUUGCUUGCUUGCCAUUGUGCUCAUCGCAUAUGCUUGUGAGGGUCGCUCCCUACAAGCGGGCACUCCGGAGAUAGCCAUCGCGACAUAUGCUCGCCCGUGCGGGAUUGGGCGCCGAAGUGGAUUGCCGUGGGGGAGGCUCAUCCCUAGAGUGGGGAUGUUGACUACCACGGGGCCAUUAGGCACGGCGCAUGCCAGACAGCCUUCGGGUGGGUCUUAUAUGAUUGGAACUUAGUGACAGAACAUGCUAUGUGAACUUUAAAACUAUUAAAGUGGACUUGAACUAGAAUAGUAAACAAUGACAUUUUUACUAUUUUUGCAUCGAGGAUAUCGGAUUGGUUGCAUAUCUAUGCUUAUGCAUGUCAUACACAUCCAUGCACAUUCAUGAUAUCGUUACUUUAUUACUUAAGCAAAUCAUGCUAAGUAGAGACUCUAUGUUAUAGUAAGUUACAUUUUACUUACCUUUCGCUUUACUACAUUGUUAGUCACUAACCUCUUUUCGUAGCUUUUGGGCCUUGUGGCGCAGUUCACUGAAGUCAGUAAUUGUCCACUAGGAACUAUUUUUAAUAGUUCUCACGCCCAUGUUUUCUGGUUUUCUUUCAGAGCCUUCUGCACCGGCGGAGGCACGGGAUCGCGGCAAGGGGAUCGCAUAGCUAGCUAGCGAGGAGCGGUUCUUUGCCUAAGUGGUUUACUCUUUCUUUUUGUCGUUGAGAGAGAGCGAGAGAUUUUAUAUUCAUGUAUAGAGACCACCUAUGUAUCUAUUUUUGGCACUUGUAUUUGGAAUUUUUUUUGUUCUACUGUAUGCUUUUAUUAGUGGAUUUCAGCUUUACUCUUCUUAUUUUGAUGUAGAAUUUAGAGUUUAAUCAUGCUUUGAUACUCCUAAAUGUCUUUUAUUAUUGCUUUAUUUAUCAUUGUUUUAGACGCCUUAUAUGUGUUAGACGUAUGGCGGGUCUGGGCACGUGCCGGGCGGGCCUCCGCUGGGCCCCGGGGCGUGACAUUAACUCUCUCUCUCUUUCACUUUUUCUCUCGGGUACGACACACCCCACAAGAGACUAUUUUUUUCUCUUUCAGGUACGGCACCCCACAAGGCUCUGCCUACUACUCGGAAGACCAGCCUUAAUUAACUGGCCGUACCAUCUCCCCAAAAAGAGACUCUAAUGCAUUAUAUAUAAUGCUCCAUCAAGAAUGUACCCAAUCCUAAUAUAUUUAGGAUUCAUACUUUAAUUAAUAUCUAAAUCUAUUCUUAAUCAAUCUCUAAUAGAUUUAAAUAUUAAUUCUAAUCUAGUUAGGUUUAUCCUCUAAUUAAUAUUUAAAUCUUGAUUUAUCUUCAACAGAUUUAAAUAUUAAUUCUAAUCCAAAUAGGAUUCAAUUACAAAUCUAACCAAAUCCUAACAAUCUCCACCUUGGUUGGAUUUGUAAUCUUCAACCGUCACGUCGAGCUCACCAUGCAAGCUCCACCUUAAGCUUGUCUCCUCCGCUCGAUGUCGUCGCAUCCGCCGCUCCGCCUCGAGCGACUGCUCAUCCGCGAACUUUUUGCUUCCGUUCUGACUAUGCUCCCGUUCAGAACGUAUAAGUUCCCGUGCUUGUUCGCCUCGCACAUGACCCGAUCUCAUUUUCGGACUCUCAUAGCUCCACCUGAAGCCGAAAUAUCGCAACCCUUCGAGUCCAAUGCGCCUAACGAGAUCAAAUUUCGCUUCAAUCCAGGAACGUACCGCACACCUGUCAGCGUCCUCACGACCCCAUCGUGCAUUCGGAUCUUCACCGUACCGACUCCCAAAACUUUGCACGUCGUCCCGUUCCCCAUUAGAGCUUUUCUACCUUUGAUCGCCUUAUAGGUUGCAAAAGACUCCUUCUCCGGGCAUACGUAAAAAAAACACGCCGAAUCGAGCACCCACGCGUCAUCCGAAAUUUUCGCACCUCCGGUCGCCGCAUAUAGCACAUCAAAAUCAAACAUCUCCGACUCUGCCGUCUGUGCCGUCGUUGAUACCGUCUCGUCCUGGUUCACGACAGUUUUCUCCUUUUGUCGCUUUAACUCCUUCAGAUCAUUCUGAAGUUUUCGACAGUUGCGCUUUAUAUGCCAUUUCCUGUGACAAUAAAAGCACUCCACCUCAGAUAGCGACUUCUUCUGUCGAUCUCCGGUCGCUGAUGUUGUCGCCUCCUUCUUCACUCUCACCACCAAAGCUGUAUCCCGGUUCUGUGUGCCGGACUCCUGAGUCAUCUUCCGCAUCUCGUUUGAGAGAAGCGCCGCCGUGACCGCCUCCACGCUUAUGGUCUCCUUGCCAUAAAGUAACGUGGUCACCAGAUGCUCAUAUGUCGCCGGUAGCGAAGAUAGUAAAAUCAGCGUCUUAUCUUCGUCAUCCAGAUUGACUCCGAUGCUAGUCAACUGGGCCACCACCUUGUUAAACUCGUUCAGAUGCUCAUGUAGGCUUGCCGCUUCUUGCAUCCGCAGCGUAAACAGUCGCUGCUUCAGAUACAACCUGUUCGUUAAGGAUUUGGUCAUAUACAGAUCUUCCAGUUUCUUCCACAACUUCGCCGGUGUCGUCUCGCUGGCUACGUUGUAAAGAACCUCAUCUGCUAAUAAUAGAUGAAGCGUACUCAGCGCCUUCCGCUCCAUCUUCGUCCAUGCCGUAUCCGUGACCUCCGCCGGCUUCGCCUCUUUUCCGUUCAACGUUUCAUCUAACUCUUGCUGUACGAGGAUCGCUCGUACUUUAAUUUGCCACAAUCCGAAAUUGUUCUUGCCGUCGAACUUCUCGAUUUCGAAUUUCGUGGCCAUCUUUGUCGAUCUCUCCCUCGGAUCGAUAACCUUCAGCUCUGAUACCACUUGUUGGGAAUCCGGUACUCGCCCCGGUACCGGAUCUUGUGAAUCCGCAACCCGCUCCGAUACCGACUGCUGUGGAUUCGGUACCGAUUGUUGGGAUUCCGCAACGGAAACGUCAAAUCGGGUUUUUACUAUAAACCCGUCUCCUCAGCAAAAACUGAUACAAUCAUAAAAGAGAGAAAAAAUCAAAACAGAAAAUAUGCGGGCAAAACAAGAUUCAAUAAAUAAGAGAAGAUUACACCUGACUCCUCUUCUGCACAGAGUAGCUAUAACCCGAGUCCUCUUUUUGAAUCUCUCCUACCCUUCUCUCGUCUUCUAUAAUCCCAUAAAGAAGACAAUCCUCCACGCGCACCCGUGCACUAGGUGCACUCAACUCAUUAACUCUCUCUCUCUCUUUCACUUUUUCUCUCGAGUACGACACACCCCACAAGAGACUCUUUUUUCUCUUUCAGGUACGGCACCCCACAAGGCUCUGCCUACUACUCGGAAGACCAGCCUUAAUUAACUGGCCGUACCAUCUCCCCAAAAAGAGACUCUAAUGCAUUAUAUAUGAUGCUCCAUCAAAAAUGUACCAAAUCUUAAUAUAUUUAGAAUUCAUACUUUAAUUAAUAUCUAAAUCUAUUCUUAAUCAAUCUCUAAUAGAUUUAAAUAUUAAUUCUAAUCUAGUUAGAUUUAUCCUCUAAUUAAUAUUUCAAUCUUGAUUUAUCUCCAACAGAUUUAAAUAUUAAUUCUAAUUCAAAUAGGAUUCAAUUACAAAUCUAACUAAAUCCUAACAAAUCCCUUCCCAUAAAAGUGAUAGUUAGAAAUGUUAGUUAUUAUGAAUGCAACAAAAAAAAAGUACAUCUAAAAAACAUUUUCCUAAUAAAUCAUAAUUAGUUAAACUAGUGGGUGACAUUUUGCAUGAAGCAAGCUUCAUUUGACCAGUGGAAGGUGCUCUUCCAAAAAAGUUAUUUCAACUUAUUUAUUCCUUUUUUUUAUCUUCAUUUGUACAUAGUUGACUAUAAUUUUCUACAUAAGUGUUUUAAAAUUAUCUGCAAAAAGUGGUAAUUAAUUUUUUUUUUAUUUCAUAAGUAGAGGAGCCUAAUUUGCCACAUCCACCACAUACCAAGAGAUAGGAUUUUGUGAAUUUUAAUUAUUCCCUUUUUUAAUUGGUACCAGUUGGACAAGAUCAAUAUCAUUAUGCAAACUCAAAAUUACAAAAUUUAUAGUAGUUAAAUAUAUACUAAAUUAAGUUGGUAUAUAAGAGUCCAAGGAUAUGUUUAGUUUUGAUAUUUUAUUUGAAGUUGAUAGACAAAACAAGAUUAGGGUGAAAGAAUAAAAAAUAUGCUUGUUUAUGUUCGAUAUGAUCAUAAAAACUGUAUCGUAAAUAACUUUUACGUAAACAGGCAACAUACUUUUCUAUUACAUUUUUUUUUUAUCAGUCACAUAGAGUGACUGUUGUAUUAUGCUUCUCUCUUCAAAAAAUAGGUUUGAUUUGUUUUAAAAAAAUUGGUUUGAUUAGUUAGAAUAAAAAUAACAUAGAGUGACUGUUCUAUAAUAGGCUUUUUCUAUAGUAUGAGGACCAAAAGUGUGAUUUAAUCAUUUUUAAAUUAAGGGGCUAUUUGGUUGCACGCAUUUGUACCUACACUGCAGUUGCAAAUGCAUACAAUCUCAAUUUCUGUGUUUGGUUUAAUACAGUUGCGUCCAACUGCUGCAGUUGCAAUUGUAUAAGAAAGUCAAAACAAAGUAGUUGAAACUACAUCUAAAUUGACUGCAGUUCUAACUGCAGUAGUUGGUGAGGAAUAGGAUCACCCACAAAUUAACAAUAAUAAAUAAAUAAAUAAAUCGCUAAAUAAAGUUUAUAUAUAUAUAUAUAUAUAUAUAUAUAUAUAUAAAUUAUACGAUAUAUAAAUAUAUAAUAUAUAAAUACUUGUAAAUAAACUCAUAUUGAUAAAAUUUUUAGGUAAUACAAGCUUGUGGCAAAAAUAAAUUUUUUUAAUUUUUUUAUUUAAAAUAAAAAUAUAGUUUUUUUUUUCUAAAAUUUCAUAAAACGAAUUGUGAAUGUUAACUUAAUAAGUUUUAAUUAAUUAUAAUUAUUAAAUUUGAUAAAAAAAAAAGAGAGAAUCAUUUAAAUUUUUAAAUUUUGAUUUACAUAUUAAAAUUAAAUAAAUCAAAAUUUUUAAAUGUAUCGGUUAUUUAAUUAUUGAAAAAUAUAAAAAUAUUACAUAUAUCCACUUAUUUAUUUAUAGACAGUAAGUUUAAAUGAUUAAUAAAAUUAUACAAUUAUUUUAUGCAUAGUGAAGGUAAUCUCACCAAUCUAUCAAAAGAGGCGACAAGAUUCACAAAUACAAUUAUUAGCUUCACAUUACUAAACAGAAGAAAUGCAUACGUGUAAUUAUAACUAUUAUAAUUUUAACUAUAUAUAUUUUUAACUAUUCUGUAUUUACAACUAUAUCCAACCAAAUAGCCCUAAAAUGACGCUCGAAGGGUUGGAACCAUCCUUACAAAACAUUAUAAAAUUAACUUUAUUAUUACAUAACCCCCAAUUGUUAAUAAAACAAAAGCCAAGGGGAAAAAAAAAGAUAAAAGAAAAGGUAUUUAAUAAGCAACCACAGCUGCUACUUGAGAUGUGGAGAGUCAAUUAAAAGCAAAAUAUAUAAAAAAACCAAAAAAAACCAUCUCUUUUUAUUAUUUAUUUAUUUAUUUAUUCCCCAAAAAGGCAACGCAUGUUUGAUACCUUGACUGCGCCACGUGCUCCUUCGCACGUGGAUUGCCGUCCCCUCACCACCACAGAGGAAAAAAAUAAAAUAAACAAAUUAUUAUUAAUUAACAUAAAAAUAUAACAUAACAAUCACAUAAUACGAAACAAAAAAGAUGAUUUUAUAAUAGUUAUAAUUAUUAUUAUUAUGACAAUAUCGAGCGGCUAUGAUUCGGGGCGGCCCAUCCGCGGCAACACGUGUACGGCGAGCACGCGCUUCCCGGGCGGCGGCUCCACCACCCACGUGCGCGGCGGCGGCGUCGGCGUCCCCGGCUCCGGCGAGGAGGAGGAGACGUCGACGACGAGGACGGCGCCGCCGCAUCCGGUGACGACGCAGACCCUGCCCCCGCCGGCGGCCACCUGGGCGGCGCCGCGGAGCAGCUCCGGCGCGUCGAGCAGCGUCUCCCACCGGUCCCCGCCCCAGUCGUAGGCCCGGAGCGCCCCCGCGCCCUCGUCCACCACGUACAUGGCAGCUUCGGCGUCGUCGUCGUCGUCGUCUCCGGCGGCGGCGGCGACGGGGCCGGACCAGCCGGCGAGCAUGCCGGGGGGCAUGGGCUCCCAGGCGCGGCGGCGGAGGUCGAGGACGGCCCCCUGCUUGGGGCCGCGGCCGCGCAGGUUGACCAUGCAGAGCUUGCCCCGCGCGCCCACGGCCUCGGCGGCGUCGCGGCUGAAGCGCCCGUCCCGGAGCGGCGGGAGCGGCGCCCACGCGCCGUCCCGCGGGUGCCAGAGCGCGGCGGAGCGGGCGAGGGCGGGGUCGUGUGGGCGGGGCCCGACGCCGCUCGCCAGGAAGACCCCGCCCCCGCCCGGGGCGGCCCCCGCGGCGCACCACCGCCGCGGCCCCAGCGGCGGCGCCGGCCCGAGGAGCCACCGCGGCGGGCCCGGGUGCGGCCGGAACACCAGCGGCCGCGGCAGCGCCGGCAGCAGCUCCGCCGUCGACCCCGCCAGCACGGCCAGGUGCCCCGCCGCCGCCACGCUCUGGAGCGGGAGCCGCCGCGAGAGGAACGACGGGUGUCUAAUGAGGACGCCCAGAUUAGGGCUAUUAGGGUUAGGGUUCGGGAGCUGCUGCAGCAGCGGCGUCGGCGGGGGGGGGAGAUCGACCCAGGCGGCGGCGACGGGGUCGAAGCAGGCGAAGGCGACGGCGUUGGGCUCGUCGUCGGCGUAGAGGAGGGCGUAGAGGGAGAGGAAGGGGGGGAAGGAGGGGGCGUAGAGGAGGCGUCGCCAUGAGCGGCACACGGCGAAGAUCAGCGGAGGUGGGAGAUGCGCCAGGCACAGCUGCGCCAGGUGGUCCGGGAGCCCCGGGAUCAGAGACUGGUACUCCUCCUCUUCUUCCUCCUCCUCCUCCUCCUCCUUGGCUCGUUUCCUCCUCGGUGGGGUUUCAUGGUCGAGGUGGGAGCCGAUCCUAGCGCGCUUGGAAGAAGACGACGAUUCGGAGGAGGUGGCGGAGGCCGCCAUUAAUGGAGUCAGUGUUGUUGGAGAGGAAGAAGAAGAAGAGGAGGAGGAGGAGGAAGAAGAAGAGGGGAGUAUCAAAUCAAAUAUGUUCGAGGAAAUGACUCAACGAGGAGAGAGGGUGGAGAGAGGGGCAAGGAUUUUUGUCUUAUAGCUUUUUGUUGCAUUAAUGCCCACUUAGUUUUUCUAUAAAUGAAAAAAAAAUUACACAUCCUUAUCGAAAUUUUCGCUUUCCGUGAACACCGUACUAAUAAUUAUUACGCGUCCUUUAUUUUUGAUAUUCGAUUUAAAAGACUAAUUUUGGCUUAAAUGAAACAUUAUCGAACUUGCCUUAUUGUGUUAGCAUGUUUUAAAUAAAUUGAUUAUCCACUGAUAAACUAUUAUUUUAGAGUGACUUUAGUUUUAUCGUACAUCUCAUUUUUUUUCACUAACAGGUCUAAUGAAUUAUGGUUUUGAUUUAAAAAGAUUAGUAUCUCUCGCCGUGACAAAUUAAGGUUGAGUUGGACCAAAUUUAUAUUCAAAAUACUGGGAGACUGGCUCGGACCGAAUCAUAACUGAAAUACGUGGGUAUUAUGUUUUUACGCUUUACAUAUAUUGAAUUUUUAGAAUUGUGAUUAAUACUAACAAUUCACCAUAUAGUUCAAUUAGUUAGAAAUUUUAUUAAACGCGAACUAUUAUUUCUUGAAGAUUCUAUUUUUAUCGUGUAAUUCGUAUUAUCAUUUUAUUUACCAUUUGUAUAAUUAAUUUGAACUCUUAUAAGUAUUGUACUUAGUUGAUUCGAACUUGGGUCUCGGGUACCAACCACCAAGUCCUUUGCCACUUGUUAUAGGGACGGUCGGUAAGGCAGUUUAGUUAGAUAUAAUUAGAAAUACAAUAUAGUUGAAGAAACAUUUUGGUUGAAAUGCAGCAGUCACAAUUACAAAUAUUUCGUUUCGUUGGAUACAGUAUUAAGUAUUGCAAAUAUAAAUAAUUUAUUCAAUUACGUAUAGUUCAAAAACAUAAUUUUCACUAAUAUAAUUAGACCUCCUUACGUACUUUCAACUGCAGCAAUUGAAUUUAAAUAUAUCAGAUUAAUAUAUGACGAGUUACGUGUACAAAUAACUAAAUUGAGGAAUUUAAUUAAAACUAAAUAAUUAAUUAUUUAACAAAGUUAGAAUUUCUAGGGACCGAGUAGGAGAAUUUCACGUGGGACAAAAAAGGUAUGGGCAGGUGGGGGGAGUUAGGGUGGAGUCGGGUGUUGUCCUCACCCCUUAAAAGCUGCUAAAUGGACUUUUUCCCGUGUGCCUUGAGACCAUAAAAAGAUAAAGUAGAGAGAGAAAAGAUUUUUACAAUUGUAUAUAUAUAUAUAUAUAUAUAUAUAUAUAUAUAUUGAGUUUGACUGGAGUACUAUCGAGAGCACUAAGAAUUAGGUACUAUCACGUUUUCUACCGUUAGAUUUUACCUUUUGAUUAUUUUUAUCCGUUUGAUUAUACUAUUCAACUAACCAACUUACUCAACCCUAGGGGCCUACAUCAUUCUAACCGUACAUUUCUUAAUCCAAAAAUUAAAAAAUCAAUAGCACAAUAGCUUGGUGCUAUUGAUAGUAUUCAGCAAUAUAUAUAUAUAUAUAUAUAUAUAUAUAUAUAUAUAUAUAUAUAAUAUAUAUAUAUAUAUAUAAUUGAGCUAUAAUAUUUUUAGAAGCACCAACCCUUCUGUGCUUCUAAGUUUCUAGCCCUUGGAUGUUCUUUGAUUACUAAUAGCUUUUGGAUCAAACAUUAUUCAACCUACGACAAUUUAUCACCAUCAUCUCAACUCUACAUCUCUCCAUCCAAUGGCAAAAAGCUCAAAAGCACCACUAUAUGCGCGGACUAUUAUAUUCUUAUAAAUUUAAAUCCUUUUAUACUUAUAUAAGUUUCGACCGUUGGAUAAAAAAAUAAAUAUGCGAUGAUCUGUAUGAAAUUAAUUCUUUUUUUAUCGAGAAAUUGGACGGCUGAUUCAAAAAACCAAUGAAUUUGUCGUGUAUGAAUCAAGUAGCAUGAAAAACAUGGAAAAAAACUUGCAUAUAGAAUACAAAAAUAAAAAAAGAAAAUCAAAAGAAAGGUCCAAAAUUAAACAGAGUUAGAAGUCGUGUAAAAUUAAAAUUUAGAAUCUCUCACUUUUGUAUCAUAUUAAAUAAAUAUAAAAUAAUUAUUAUUUUUUAAUAAUUUAAGUUUUGAAGUGAUUAAUUGUUUCACAUAAUUUAAUAGUCUCCAUAUAUUUAUUUAUUUUUGUUGUAUAUAUAUAUAUAUAUAUAUAUAUAUAUAAAGAGAGAGAGAGUUGAGCUGAAAUGCUAUAAGUAAUAAAUGAGUUUCGUUGCCAUGCACUCAUUUAUUUUCGAUGAUCGAGGCUCUAAAUCGACGAUCGAUAUUGUUGAACAUAAUCUAUACCACUUGAAGUAUAUAGAAAAUUUUGAAUUUUUUCAACAUUGCAGGCCUAAUAAUUAAAGAGUUUCAAAAUUUAUAAUUCUAACUAUUAGUAUAAGACGUUUUUCGUUUAACGGCGUAAAGAUAUCCAAACCAGUUGAAUUUUGGUUAAGGAAUUUUUUAAACUAAUUUAAAAUAAGAUUUACACUUUUGAUAUUGAUUAUAAAACUCCUAUAAUCACUUUUUAAAGGAUGUUUAUUUUUUGAGGAUGUUCAUUUUUAGCCGUUCAUUUUUUACUGCCACUUGAUGGACAAGAGAACAAUAUCGAAAAAGUAUGAAAUUUGAUUUCUAAAUGUUUCGAGUGAUAUAAUUCAUGUUCAAUAGUACCGAUUGUCGAUUUGGAGGCUCGAUCAUCGAAAAUAAAUAAGUAAAAACGGAGCUCGUUUGCUGUCGAUAUUAUUCCUUCUCAACUCUAUAUUUAUUUAUUUAUUUAUUUAUUUAUUUAUUUAUUGUUAUCUUUUGUGUAGGAAAUUGUGCGGUGG